GGGGGGGGGGGGGGGGGGGGGGGGGGGGGGGGGGGGGGGGGGGGGGGGGGGGGGGGGGGGGGGGGGGGGGCCCUGUCCGGCUGGAGCCGCCUGAGGCGGGGGAUGUCGGCGGAGCCGGGCUGGAGGGAUCUCGGAGAGCCUUCUCCAAACCACAAACACAAAAAUGCCCCCUCGGUCAGGACCCCGGAAAAGUGCAGCGGCAGGCCCCAAAUGAGGACUGGUCAGUGCCAUGUGAAUGCCAGGAAGCUGUGCCUGGAUUUCACCGUGAUGGCAGGUCAGAGAAGGGUUCAAUGUGAAAACCACUGCAUGCGCUUUCAGCACUGCACUCACGGUCCAGCUCUGGCCCUUGGAAGGGCGUCGCUCACUGCGGAGCUGCUGCAGCACCCGAGGUCUGAACCCAUGGAUUCAGCAUGGAGAGCCCUCAUGUCCAGCAGCCAGGUGGAGCAGACUGCUGGGAAAAGGGACUUCGGUGUGUGACAGCGAGAUUCACCAGUGCCCCUUCCACCACUGCAUAUCAGCCUGGAUGUAAAAUUUACAGGAGAAAUUAUUUUAACACUGGAAAAGCUCUUACUCAUCUGAACCAUCAUUCAAAAUGCAUGAUGAAAGUUGCCAAGCAGAAGUUCUCCAUCCCACUGUCUGCAGGACUCCUGCAGCUCUUCUAAAGCUUAAG
rnacentral:lncRNA from 1 species